rnacentral:rRNA from 1 species
AUGAAGGAUGCUGCUAUGAGCCAUGCCACCCCAUCAGUAAGCGUUGAAGUGGAUGCUCCCGAGACCAACCUAAGCAAGGAAGAUUCCCGCUCAUCUGACACUGAUUCCAAGCGCGUGCGUGGUGGCACUCUUGUGUCCACGACAGAAGUGGCUAAGGCGGAAGUUCACAAUGAUAUGCCAUCUACAGGUGAGAGUCUUGGCACAAUAGCUCCAGCUCCUGUCGGUGCAGAUACUGCUAAGGCGACUGUUUCGCGUGCUGGUCUUCCACCUAGGCUUCGUAGCCCCCGCAAGCAAUCAACAGACAUACCCAACGGAACAGCUGUAGCUAGAAGCAGCAGAGACGAGUCUGGUUAUGUUCCUGUGUCCACACUGUUCCCGCCACCUGCCAAAAGCAAUGUGAUGGAGAAACCGGAAGACCGGAACACAACUGAUGCAGGUGUCAAGCCGGGCACGAGUGACGCAGGUGAACGUCCGGAGUAG